UCUCUCCCUCUGAGGUCGGGACAACCUCCAGCAGACCUGUCUCCCCCUUUCCUUCAAACAGGAAGAUGAAGCUGGAGAUGAGGCUCGGUAUGAAAAUGAAUACCCUGAGAAAGCAUAGCAGGAUGUGAGUAAAUUAAAGAAUUGGGUUUUUUAUCUUCGGUUUUUAGGCAGAGGGGAACCUACCUACUAUAAAAAACUUAAAUAGAAAGGACCAACGUGAAUGAAGGCAGGGGCAGUCCAAGCCAAGACACCAUUUUUGCCCUAAAUCAGUCCACUGAGAGAAUUUCCUCCCUUUAAAAAAAUGAAAGCAAAUGAUUAGAAACUCGUGCUUUCCUCUUCUCUCUAGGCCUCAUUCUCCACUCUCCUCUGAGGGGAGUCCGUGGAGGUUAAUCAGGAGAAGGCUGUCAUUGGGUUGGAUGGUUUGUGGAAACUAAUGAUUUGACACUUGGAGCCUUUAUUGAAAGGGAAAGCCAGCUGCUGCAGUUUAUAUGGGCAAAGUCACUUGAAUGCAAGACAGAGGUGACAAGGGUGAAGUUGCACGGAGGGGAGUUAUGUUACUAAUCAGCCUGGUGGACCUGACUUCUCAGAGGAGGGGUCCAGCUGUGGAGCGGCCUGCUUCAGGCACUGCAAGACCUGACCGUCUGGGCCGUUUUCCCUGCUGACUCAGUCCUGAGGAUAGAACUUGCUGAGUAUCUCACUAGCCCAAAUUCUAGGGUCUUGUUUGUUCCAAGAAGUCAGCCAGCGUUCUGACCCUUCUCAGGUUUAAUUGAUCUGGUGAUUGACUCGGUUGCCUGGAAAGCCUCACAGAGUUCACUGUCUGAUUUCUGGAACUCAGUUGAAGGAGAAACUUAGCAACAAGGCCUGCAAAGAAAAUAGAGACGUUGGCACCGUCUAGGGGUAGCAUCUUGACUCUGGGGUUGUGUCUUCAGCUGUAGCCAGCCCCAUUCAGAGCCGUGGCCUCGGCUGGGGAACGGCACGGAGCAUCGGCCCACGUAGGGCCCUGGAACCGUUACUUUCCCUCAGGUCUGCCUGCCCGAGAGAGAUGUUGCUUCUUUUGCUCUUGUUGCUUGGAACACAGUUGGCUUUUAUUUGGCUCUUGCCAUGGAAACUGAUAAAUAAAGAGAAGCAUGGUUUCUUAAUUGUCUCCAUCUUCAGAUGCACUUCUCUGCCCGAUUAGCUUGAGCGAGUAUACAGCUAUUGGGAAUAAAGAAGGAGGGGGGAGAAGGAAGGUGAAUAUUGGAAGCGCUGGUCAUUAAAAGUUUGGGUUCCUUGUCUGGAAAACAGUGUACUCUUAUGCCAGUUUUUGACAUUUGGUGUGUUUUGGUUGGCAAAAGGAUACAGUGUGUGCAUUAUACUUUUUUUUUUUUAAGAAAAUUGAGUUAAACCCAGUGUCUGUUGUGUUUUGGCUGUCCUUCAUGUCGCUUUCUUUAGGCGGGUUGUUUACCAUUACUUCAGCAUGGUGUCACACAGACUUGUUCCAGUGGAAUCCAGUUAGAUGGUCCUAAUGCUUCUGCUCCAGCUGUGCACAUGUGUUUUGAUUUACAGUGUGCUUGGAUGGACCAUGUGUAUGCUUGAUUCCUAUGGAAGACAUAAUUUGCAACAGAAGACUUGGAAUCGUAAUAAACCUAAGGAUAGGAAGAGAUGGAGAUGCUCAAAGAAAUAAAGUCAAUUAAUGUCAUGGUCGUGAGGAGCUUGCUUCAUGGUUAUAACCAACUGCUCCCUUAUCUCAUGGGCUAAUUUGACUUCACAUAAAGUGUUCUCCUACCGUGCCCCUUCCAGCUUAAUGACCGAGAGCAGUCAGCCAACCGUACGCUCCAGUAGAAGAGAGAUCUCAAGGAGUUUCAGUCUGAUGCCAAUUUCGGGUGUAUUGUUUUCACAAAUUAUAUUAGUGCUCAUGAACUGGAAUUGCUGCACUUUAAACACUCAAAAUUAUGAGACUAGCUGUCCCCAGUGGUCAGUGUUUUUGGAGUGGACCUCACAGGCAAUCCUCUGCUAGAAGAAGACUCUUCCAGAUUCCAGCAGCUUUUGUUUAAAGCAAGGCCUGUCUUAUUUACACUUAACUUCCAAGUUCAAAUCUGACACAGAUGGCUGUGCUUUGCUUUUGACUUUUGGUUUAUGGAAAUUAUAGAUGAAAUUUAAUUUUCUAAUCUUGCACUUCAGAGCAGCUGAUACAUCUCAGCCAACAUGUGUGCAACACAUCAGGAAGGAGGCACCGUUUCUAUCGUAAUGUAUUUGGCUGUGGGGCGUUAAUGUCUGUGUCUCGUUAGUGGCAGCUGUUGAUUUUAAGAAAACUACUUAUGCAGAUAAGCUGUGACAGAGGGAGUGCAUCCAAGUUUUUAAUGAGACAUCGAGACUCAUUAAAAAAUCUACGUUGAGACUUUAAUCUCCAGGAAAAGUAGUGAUAGAACAGUUUAAGAAACGCCCCCUGCACAUGAUCACAAUACUAAUUUUUUAGGAAAUCAAAGCCAUAUAUACAAUUUAAUUCCACUUCUGUUUAAAAAAAUCUAUACAAAAUGCAAUUAAACGAGACUAGAAGAAUAUACAAACCAGCAUAUUCUCGGUGAUUACCUUUCUCUUGAAGGCAAUAUUUUACGUGAUUUUUAUUUUAUUUGACUUUUUUACUUUCCUGUCUUUUCAAUGUUCUCUGUGUCAAGCGUACGUAACUAGUUUACAGGAGAAAAAAAUACAAUAGAUGUUUAAGGGUCAAGAAAAAAAGAAAAAGAAAUGAAUAUGCACCUACCUGCUGCAACUGGACCAUGUCUGGUGAUGGAAGGUCUGGAGCUUCGUUGCUCGCUUCGUGAGUGAAGAGCAAGAUUUCCUCCUCCCCAGGGAAGGCCUUGAUGAGCGGAAGCUGCGUGAGGAAAGGGAAGCAGUCUGCAGGCAAGCCCUCUCGCCACACAGCACCGUGAGGGCAGGACGCAUACUCG
ensembl:lncRNA